CUCCAAGAAAACCUUCGAGGACGUUGUCGACUGCUACCACUUCGCAGAGCGCCCACCAACCACUUUGUCGCCGAUUGCUGCAAGUUUGCCGUACGUCUCUUCGUCUCUCUCGGUAGUCCGAUUACUCCUACAAGAUCAAAGAACCACACGUUUUUGGAAUUGAAAUUAAGUAGGGUGACCUCUGGUUCAUUUCCGAUUGCAGGUGUUUUCUCUGUGGGUGCUUGUUGCUUCAAGAGUCAUUGUCGCAAGGGCACGAAGGUUUAGGGUGAUGAUGAAAACGAGGAAGUUAUUGCGAUGCCAAUCCCGCGUUAGAGCCAUCAUGGGUCAAUAGUCGUCCAAUUGGGAGUGCUGCAUAUGGUAAAUACCUUGCAAGGCAGGGCAGUUUGUGAAAAAGCUUCUGCAAUGAUAUAAAGUCGGACGAGUUUAGCAGCUGGAAUCUUGAGAUCAAAGAAAAACCAAAAGUGAAAAUUUUGCGAUACCUAUGAAAUUGAUACAGGUUGUCACUCCAUCAACCAAGGCUGAUGGUAUUAGAAAUUGAUCCAAUUCUUGUACGUAUUUGACAUUUGGACUUACUAGUUAAAAGAAUGACGAUUGUAUUUCUAGAUAAUUUAACCUGUCAUUUUGUCUUUCAUUUUCGAGUUUGAAGCAUAUUGUGUAUAAAGGUUUCACAUAUUGUAAUUUAUAAAACUUGUAUAUAAAUGUUAUGAUUGUGGAAUUACAUUAAUGAUGUAUGUUGUGGCUUAGUGAAUGAAU